rnacentral:lncRNA from 1 species
CUCACCCCUCUGCCCUUCGUCUGGUCUCAGUGCGUGCAGUUUGGAAAAAGCUUCUGGUUUCCAUUGAAAGGAUUUCCAAUGUUUUGGCCUUUUUGGGACUUCUAUUUUAUUUUCACUCCACACCUCCCUAACACCGUGUGCAGUGGGUGGAGGUGGGCGAGAGGAUGACGCAAACUCAACUCCGUGACACGAACCAGAUGACUGAUGUUUUCACUUAUUCCGACAAGAAAAUGCACCAUUACCAACACGGCGCUGGCAUCUCCCAAGAUGUUUGGACAAAUCAGCAGUCCCAAAGCUUUUAAAGCAGUGGACCCAUGAUUUCGGUGCUUAGGAGAAACAAAAGUAGAGGAAACUCCCCCAGACAUUGGCAGAACAACAAACGUCUGCACCAAAGAGUCCGAAACGACCAGAAAAUGGAACCUUCUUCUUUGAGGUCAGACAGAGAAAUGCUUUGCCUGUUGUCUGUCCCUUCUCCUUUGACCAGCUCAGUUUUAAACUUCAGAGUAAUUCGUUUAAUCAAUCUCGACAGUUGUACUUAAUAAAAUGGCCGG